CCAAAACAUUUUUUAAAUUCUUCUUUAACCAUUCUUUGGCAGACAUCUAAUUGAUAGUAACAACAACAACAACAAAAAAUCAAUGAAAACUUUAAGUCCUUUAGAAUAUUUGCAACACUCCUUAUUAAUCUAAAACACAUGCUGCCCUGAAAUUGUGAAUCAGAGAUGAUUAGGAAAAUCUGCUCAUGUUUGUCUAGUGUGUGUACAACCAUAAAGUGCAUAAUCAGUGUGUUCGAUAUUUAUUGAUCAUUUUGACUGAUUUGUCUGUUAGGGAUCAGAUUUUAUCCAGGCCAUCUGACGCCCAUUGAUUACUUUAUUGCUUAUAAGAUCUCAGAAAAAAACAUUGGCGGGUUUGGACUUUGAUCAAGAAAGGCUAACUAAAUUCCGUGCCUGCUUGUUGUGUCUAUAUAGUUCCAAAUAACUCUGAUUCAUGUAUACUCGUCCAUGCGCUGCCAAUGACAAAAACUUCAGAUGUAAACUGAAAUCCAAUACUUAAGAUACAGAUCUGAUUUGCUCCAAACAACAUUUCAAGAUGUCUCUUAUCAUUAGGGGGCCUGCUGCACUAUUCAGCCCUGGCUUUACCCACUUCAACCUUCUAACAAUGACAGCUCUGUCCGAGAGAACUCCAAGAACCGAGCCGGGGCCCCCCUCCCAAACUAAGAGCCCUGAUUUGUGGAGUGUGCCCCGCUCCCUUCUCUCUCUGAUCCCUUGUCUAUCUGUCCUUCGCUCCUUUCUUUGGCAGAGCACUGAUGUAAUCCAAAAACAUCCACGGGAGCAGCUGCACAGCGAAACUGUCCUCUCCAGCUCUCUCGCUCUCCCUUGCUCGUUUUUUUUCUUCUCGUACUCUAUCUCUCUCAGCCGCUUUCUUCUCCUUUUCUUUCUCCAGUGGCAUGCGAGGCUGUCGCAGGGAGGGAGCUGUGGGGAGCGGAGACAAUUAGGGCCUUUCUCUUCUCUAAAAUGGGCUAUCACUUCAAAUCUCCUUUGCCAUCUACCUCCGUAUCCUGUUUGAAGAGCUUUCGGCGUCUGGGUCGAGGACAAAUAAAGAAUUCCAACAGUUUGGGAAUGCGGCUUCGGACACGCACUUAGAUGCAGAAAAUAACAGGAAUGAUGAAAUCAGGAUGUUUUGAUAGGAUUUAAAUGUUAUAAUGUUGUAUUUAAUGCGUGGAAAAGCUCACCUGGUGUUCAGCUGUCAGGAGCUCUACUCACUGGCCUUAAACAGCAGUCUUAUCCCAAAGUAAAGACCAUGUGUUUGAUUUUAAGGUUUGAAGUAUAACUUUUCCGAUAGAGACACAAUAGCAUUCGACUUUGGUCCGAUAAGGAAUUGUGGAGGGAAAUCCUUCAAAUCACAUUGGACAUACAACGGACUGUGAAGAUCUGAAGGUGAACUUGCGAGACGUGUGUUUCCAUUUUCAUUUGUGGUGGAGGUUCCUAACACCCUGCUGCACGUUUUGCAAGAAGCCCUGAGGGUUCUCCUGUGUGGAAAACCUUGAUCGAUACCAUCCCUUCUGCAUGCCACAGAAGAUGGAGGAGCACAGAUGGGUGGCAGGCUGUGUCCUACACAAGACCCACAAAGAAUCCCUUUCUAAAUGGUCAUCACAUAAAGAAAUGUGCUUAAAAAAAAAUGUACGUGUGCCAUCAUCUGGAAACGCACAACAACAAACACUCCUAAAACAGCUCCGAUUAGGUUCCAUGCGAUCAUUGUGCAGAUCUGGGAAAUACCUCGAGUUCUGACAUUCUGUUUGAUCCCAGUUGACCUCUGAGAAACUCGAGGUGGGGCAAAUGCAUACAGAAUUUCUGGUUGCCAUUACCAAGGGCUUGUUGAGAGAGGCCAAACGCUACAAGCUGUCGAGUGGAGGAACAGGUUAGGGCACUAAGGGUCGGAAAGAGGACUCCGUACUGCCACGGGGCAGGAAGUGGUCUGUUCAGUGUUAGCAGGGGGGAACGUUGAUGGUAAAUAAACAGUGUUAAAGAUCAGUGCAUUCAAGCCUUCUUUCAGCUGCCAACUUCUCUGGUGGAAAACCAAUGUUUGAACCAGGAACAGAUCCAAUGAUCUGAUCAGUUGUCUGAGAGGAAGGGUUUUCUAAGUUUGAAAGCUCCUUGGUAUGCGACAUGAGAAAGGUUCAAUCUUGGUAAAAAUAAAUAAAUAAAUAAAAAUAAAGAAUGGUUAAAAUGAUUUAUACCACAGCGCUGUUGAACACUUGAUUCUGAUUGGUCAGAAAGUUUCUAUAACAGCAGCUUUGGCAGCACUUCCCGCUGCAAUGCGAAUCACGGGUUUAUAUUAAUGCGCUCACUAUAAUACCGUAUGUUAUCUUUCCGUAGAAGCAACUUACUGAGGGAUGUUUAUUUAAAAUUUUUGAGAGGAGUCUUAAGUGUCAGAGCUUUGUAACAGGUACAGCUGUUCUCACACACGAGAAAAUGUGCCGAACUUUGCAAUCCAUGGUGUCUCUUUAACAUGACAAGUUGCAAUUUUGCCUUAUUGGCUGAGAGAGAGAGAGAGAGAGAGAGAGAGAGAGAGAGAGAGAGAGAGAGAGAGAGAGAGAGAGAGAGAGAGAGGUCAGGCAUAAGUAAUAACGGGAACUGUUUUUGUUGAUAUUCCACAACAUUAAAUGGAUAAAAAGUAUGAUGUCAUUCUUUAAUAUAUUAUUUUUAAAUGUCAGCAUUGGCAAAUUGCUUUGUUUUAUGAGGAUUCAAACACAGUUAUUGCAAAACAAUCAACAGUAAUUUCUUGGGCCACAUCUCACAACCCCAUCACUGAUUAGUUUCCUAUAACAACAUGCUCCAUUGCUCUUUAUUCCUUACAAUUGUUAUAAUGCCAGUCCAAUGAAUACAAUGUCUAUUAUAUUGCUUAAAAGUAUAUAAAAUACAACACUGCAAAGAUCCACUUAAUAGCUCAAUAUCCCAGGAUUAUCAGAUGAAACCUGGAACUGAAUAUCCUCUACAACAUGCUCCAUAUUCAAUGACAAUGACAAACAUAAACAUAGCUGGCGAACUGAAUGUUUCUGAAAUGAACUGAAACAUCUCCAAACACCACAACACUGACUUGUUAUCUUGAUCAUAUUUAAGUGACAAACGGACAAACAGAAACGCUGAUAAAGAUCAUUCUCAGGAAGGAAUUAGGGGUUAAUAGAGGAGGAAGUAUCACACAAAACCCUGGGUUCAACUGGCAGAACUUAAGAGGGUAAAGGGGCACUGCAUUGGAGGCAACAGCCAUUUUGGUCUUCGUCCAAGCCAAGCUGAGUGCCAAAUGAUUAGGACACAGGGCCCAGGAUGUGGGCAGACUGUGCAGUGUGGGUGGGCUGACCCCACCUCUCUUUGUGCCUGGGCCCCUGUUGAUAAAAUGGGCAUGAAGGGAUGUGCCUCUUCUAUCCCCAUUUAACUCACAUUGUGAGCCUUUGCUAGUUAGCUGGUCUUCAAAUGAAUUGUUGCCACUGCUUCAUGCCAAGGUUCAUGCCUUAUUACUCUUACCGUAGAAAAGCCAAUUGGUUAAGUGAACAUCUCAAGGGCUUUAAUGGCAGACAACUUCGAUAUGGUAUCAACAAGACAAAACCUUCCACAUCAUAGCCACCAAUUAAUUAACAUGAAUACAUCAAAGAAAAUGAAGAAAAUGUAGUGAAAUUCGGCACCAUGUCAUUUUCUCUUGGCCAGUCAAUGGACCUGCCAAAUGCUGGUCUCACAUUAAAAGCGUGUUUUUAAACAUAGAAGAAUUGGCCAAAUUACAAGGUUGGUAGAACACUAAUGCCUAGCUCUGUUAACCAGGAAGUUGCGCAAGAACUGCUCUGUUCACAGAUUCUGAAGUCUCAAGAUGCUUAAUUUCACAGUUCAUUCAUUCAGUACAAGCACAAACAGUAACCAAAUCCCGUGUAAUUAAAGUUUUACAUGGAAUUUACAUUAGGAUUCGGAAACUCAUGUGGUAUUCAAGUUCAGUUAGAAAAUUAUAGUAGUAAUAUUCGUAAUAGAGUAUUUUAUCCCAGGACCAUCCCUCUGUGUAGACAAAGAGAUAUCGAGGUGGGGUUUCCCUCCACUGGGAAAAGUGUUGCAAGUUUAUCACCAUUCAUGACUUGCCAUGAAGCCGUUGCUUCAUGCAAAUGAGUCAUUUGCCUGCAUGUUUACAGUAAAUUCCUAAUAUCACUGUUUCUGAUUGCGCCACACUGGUGGGAAUAAAAGGUUUGGGACUGUAUUUAACACAAAGUUCACUGUGAAGUCCUUCAAUAAAUAUCAAUACAUGCCAUGAUAAAAGGGGUAAGAUGGGGAUUAUGAUCUAUGCAAAAAGGGAAAAUGAUAGCAGAGUAACCAAGUCUCAUUGGCAAUGGCAAAGAUAACAAAUUUCAUUUAAAAAAAUAAAUAAAAUAACAUGUUUUAUGAAUACAGAUGAUUACAGCAAAACUCAUUCAUUCAUAGUCAACAAUCGCAAUAUCCUGGUUAGAGUCAUGAUGGAUCCUAUUCCAGGAACACUAUCCCACUAUCUCUAUCUCUGGAUGGGACACCAGUCCACUGCAGGACACUAUGCACACACACACACAUACACACACACACAUUCACUCACUCAUUCAUACCGAGGCAACAAUUUAGCAUAACCAAUCCACCUAUAGUACCAGCAUAUUUUGAAGAGGUGGGGGGGAAACCGAAUAACAUUAAGGAAACCCUCAUGGACACAGUGAGGACAUGUUAAACUCUACGUAUUACCCCAAGCUCAGAAUUGAACCAGGAACCUUGGAGUUGUGACAAGUAUACAAAUUUUAUUUUAAAAAAUGAUAACCAUUUAUGACAGUCAAUAUUAUUACUAUAUCCAAAGUCUUGACUGCUAUUUAAGUAAACUGUAUUUUGUCAAUACUUCUCUGAAUGUUUAGGGAAGGAGGUGUGUGUUUGUGUGAGAGAAGGCAGGAAUGGAUUGGGGGGGUGGGGGGUUUGAGGGAAGCGAGGGUUAUCGACAGGCAGGGCGCAACGAAUGGCUGGCGCCAGACGAGCUCCACAAGCCUGGGGAAGAUUUAGCGCCAAAGAGAGCCGAGUGUCGGAGCGAGUGCGUGUGUGUUUGGGAGUGUAUGUGAGAGGGUCAGGCUCUGAAUGCCGAGCUGUUCAGGGCAGAUUUCACGGCUGGCUGAUCACAGGCGUCCGAGCCUCGACCCUCGCGACAGCUGCAAGGCCCUGCCGGCAUUGCCCACUCCCCCCUCAACCCACACACACACCUCCUCCAUCCAUACUCCGCACAAAGGGGGCCAGCCUGGACCGGCACAGCCCAGCCCAGCCCAGCCCAACACUGCAGCGCCUGACAGGCCGCACUCGCUGCUAACGAUGGCAACUGUGUGAGGUAUGUAUGAAGAGAGAGGGAAGAGGGGGUGGGUGGGCUUGGGUAGUCAUGCUAAUGGAGCGAGUGAGCGGGAAACGCUGCAGCCCCUGCUCUCCCCCUGCAAGCUCAGCAAGGGGCUCCCGCUUUCGAUGAGAUUAUUUCUCUUUCUUCUCUCCAUUUGCUUUGCCCAUUUGUUUCAUUAGCAUCAUUUUUUCCUCUCUCACAUCUUUUAUCAAAGGCUUUAUCCCGAUCUGCAUAUCCUCCAACCAUCUCCGCUCCAAUGAGAGCACGCCCCACGUACAAUACAGCGACGCCGUGGCCUUUGCACACGGGAAGUUUUUGGGAGGCCGAACUGGGUCAGAGUUUAUGGAGGACAGAUUGGCAUCGAGCACGGCUGUGCUUACUGUGCCCGAUCAAUGACAAACGGCACAAAUGAACGACAGGAUGAUGAAGAUGCGAAUAAGUAGCUGUAACCAAUGAUAAAAGAUCAGUGAAUUGAUGUAAGGAGAAAACAAUGGCCACAAAUAUGCUGAUCUACAACUUUCCACUCUUUUCCCAAGCUGUCAUUAUUUCAAAAUGCAAGCCCAGCAAAUUAGCUUCAGUACGUUAGAAGUCGAAAGAAGUGGGAAGUCAUAUUUCAGAAUGCUUAAAGAUCUUAAAGGCAGUUGUAGAUUUUAAGAUUUUAUCUUCAGAACAAGACAGAAAGCUCCAUAAAGACAUCAGUUAGUUUGGUUAUGAAAUGUUCAUUAAAUGAUCUAUUUAAAAACAAUUCAAUUCUACUUUUUUUUUUUUUUUUUUUUUUUUUAAUUUUUUAAAUAUAUCUAUUAUUUAAAAAAACAAAGUAUAAAACAAGUCUUUUUUCUGACUAAGCUAUGAAUUAACCUCAUUAAUAUGCUAAGGAUUAUAAGAAAUGCAAAAUGGCAGAAAAUAUUACACCACAAAUCUCCUAUGUUAAAAUCAUUCAAAAAUCUGAUUAUUUAAGCAACUGUGAUGAUCUCACAACAAACCCAGUGCCCAUUAUUCACCAUCGUCAUCAGCAGUGUACAGUCCAUGUGGGGAAAUAGGUGACUUGGUUUUACAUCAAUGGUUUUUAGAUGAAGAAUAGAAAAAUCUUCAUCUAUUUUAAAGAUUAUUUACAAAGCAAAAAGUCAAUAAACUGCUUUAACACAGCCUAAACACUACAGCAGUCAGUAAUAGGGAGUUAUUUGCAUCUUAUUAGCAGUUAUCUUUAAUAGUAAGCUAACAGGGUUGACUUGCUAUAGUUGAUCUAUUUAAAUGUUGCUGUGCACUAGCUGUGCGCUGUGUAUCAUCAUCAUCAUCAUCAUCAUCAAAUAUGAUUCACUUCAAUAUGUCUAACAGCUUAAACAGCCAACAUUUAGUCUUUUUUUUUUAGUUCAAACAGGUUCAACAGCAUAGUUUAGUGUAAGCAGUUAAUUAAGAGUUUUAUGGGAAUCAACAACUACAGUAUAUUGACCUUUCAUGGAGGGGGUAAAAAUAUAUCAGAUAAAAAAAUGUUGCUUUCAUUUGCAACACAGACAAAUGAAAGCAAGACUUGUAAAAAGGUCUCCAAGUAAGAUGGGAUUAAAAUAUCACACAUGCAUUACAUUCUCAUACACUUUUGGUCAUUAUAUCUUAAUUGUGAUGAAUGAAAGAAUAUCUGUAAAGCUAAUUUGUAUUAAAUGUCUUGUUUGGUUGCGUAAUUUGAGAGUAAGAGCAGUGUUUCCCACACUCAGGUGAGACUUGGGCAGGUCGCCCAGGUAUAAUAACAACCGGCCAUGUAUAUUAAGUCCCAUUAAAAAUAAUUGCAUUGUAUUUAGUAAUGCUUGGACGUUAAUUACAUUCUGAAUUUGAUUUCUAGCGAGUUACUGUAAAUUAUAAAGAAGCUGACAGAUGAAUGCAUUCGUUUUCAGCUUGUGUAAAUUCAUGGUACUCCUUAUAGUCACAUGCACUCAUUUUCCAUAGAAUACAGUACUGUUGCUUAUAAAGUACUAAUGCAGACUUAAUGACAUGUUAAACAAAAUAGUUGCCAAAAAUUUCCAUCACUAAUUUGCAUUUUCUGAGUGUAUACUCUGUCCUUAUCCCCAUUAAACUAAUGCAGUCACAAUACAUUUUCAAGCAGAAGAGCCGAGGCAGUGACUAAAGAAUAAACGUAAUUCAAAUCGAUAUCAAUUUUAUUUUGCCAAAGAUAUGUGGCGACACUUUGAAUGCUCUUUCUGUCGCCUCUGACUGUUUACAGCUUAAAUUUCCCAUGGGUAUUAUGUGAUGAGUGUGUGAAAGUGUGAAAGCAUGGUGCCCUGAAAUGGACUGGUGUCCGAUCCAAGGUGCAUUCCUGCCUCAUGUCCAGUGUUCCCGGAAUAGGCUCCAGAUCCACCACAACCCUGAUAUGGAUAAAGCGAUUACUGAAAGUGAGUGAGUGAAUUGAAAUAAAAUGUCUUUAUUAUUUCUUUUUGCCUCCAAACUUCUCUCAGUCUCCUGAUACUUACGUUGCCUUUGACCACCUACGAGGCUGUAAAAUAUGUCAUCCAUCACCAUGAUGAAAACCAGAGCUUUCAACCCAAAUGAGGCGGCUUGUUGACUUGCACAAGUCAGCAAAUGGAUAUAAAAAUCCAUAAUCAUAAAAUAUCAGCACAUUGAGGGCCUUCAUUAAAAAAAAAAAUUAUAAUAAUAAUUUUAAAAAACAGAUAAAAAAAUGUAACAGUUAAGAAUAUGCCAGGAAUUAGAUGCACGAGCAUACUUGGCUGUAGAUAGAUCCAUCAACAAGAUAAUGACCUCAAACAUUAAUUUCUAUCAACACAGAAAUGGUUGCUGGAACAUGGACAGUCUUGGGAACUGAACUUUAUUGAAAACCUGAGAGGACAGUUCACUUCUAAUCUAAAGUAUCUUACUUCUUACUACUAUCUUACUUACUCCAUCUGCCACUGCGGGCAAACCUUGUCAGCCACAAUAGGAAGAGUGGUUAUUUUCUCCAGGAGAGCCUUCUCCAAAUAGUACUUGUGGUGCCAAUUAUUAUUAAAUAUAUAUAUUUUUCUGAAGGGUGCUAAUAAUUCUGGAAUAAUCAUCUCAUGUCAUAUACAGUUUUGUAUUUUGGGUUUUCCUGCACACACAAGCACACAUAUCCUGAUAUGAUUUCUGCCUUGGUGUGAAGAUAAAACUACAUUUAAUUUUUUUUUUUUUUUUUUUUUUACAUAUUAUCCAUUGCACCAGUACAUAUGUGGGUCUCAUGCUUAAUCUCUUGACCAAAGUUCUUCAAUAAAUGCUGUCUCUUGGUAAUAUAUAUAUAUAUAUAUAUAUAUAUAAAAAAAAAAGGUCUGGUCAUUACAUUUACGACAUUUAUGGCAUUUGGCAGACACCCUUAUCCAGAGCAACUUACAUUUAUCUAAUUUAUACAACUGAGCAAUUGAGGGUUAAGGGCCUUGCCCAAGGGCCCAGCAGUGGAAGCUUGGCAGUGCUGGGGCUUGAACCCCUGACCUUCUGACCAGUAACCCAGAGCCUUUAACCACUGAGCCUCCACUAGACACCAUACUGGUCAUACUGCUUCACGCUCAUCGUGGACCUUCAUGCAGCAUAAAGAUGACACACCUUGACCCUUCAGGGUCACUAUGCUUGAUCACCAGUCAGUUCCAUGCCCCUGAAACCACUGUAAUGAGCUUACACUGGCCUAGAACUGUGCAGACAUGGUCUUAAAACAGAAUAAUCCUUUUUCUUAACAGAAUGGGCUCUGAGGGGUGUUCCAACAUAUGAACAAACCCCAGUAACUUCAAACCAGCUAACCCAUACUGUAGCAUACCUUGCUGGGUGCACAAUCAUUACACCAUACCACAAAAAUGGCUACAAACUGCAAUUCAGACGGCCCAUUUACCCACAUGGCUGUAUUUGGACACUGGCUGUGGAAUGGAACUCCAGAUAAUUGAUCACACCUAAACCUUUGUUCCGUUUGAGAAAACACAAUGACUGGGAUGUUUGUCAAAAAGAUAUUAACUUUUAUAGCAAGGAAUUUGCUCCCCCGCCCUCCCGUUGGCUGGCACAGAUUUACACCCACAACGAAAAUUUGGCUCAAAGGUUUCAUGCACCUCAUGUGACAGCAAGAGCAGUUGAGUGCCUGCUGAAUCUGAGCCGAUAUAUGCAUUCCACACGCUCUGAGAGCCUGGAUCGGCUGGGCAAAGAGAGAGCGAGAGAGAGCAGGUAGCUGCAUUUCACCGUUCAAGACUGGGCUCAUUGUCCAGUCUCUGUGGGAAACUCGCAAUACUUCCUUCAAGGGUGAUUACUAGGAAACUUAAUAUUCCGUAUCAGUGACACUUCUCACGUUUGCCAAAGGAACACACAUCUGCCCCUCAUAUCUACCAGUUCUUUGCAUACAAGGAUGAGACUCCCAACCUCCCACCCCUACAUUCAUACACAGACUCACACUUACAAAUACACACAAAUGAUGAGGGUACCUGGUCUUUAUCAGUUAGCCAAUUGCAGAGGGAAGUGUGAAGAUUUAAUCCAAUCCCUCAGCAUGAUCUGUGUACACUCUCCACAAGGAGGAAGAUAAGCUCAUUCUGAUCAAGAGAUAGAUGCUGCCUUGUGGUCAAAAGGUCAGCAUUAUCACGAUUACGCCGAGCAAGAAAAUCAAGCUUUGCAUCUCUAAAAUGUGAUGCCAGAACGGUAUGACAAAAAACAACUGCUUGUUCAAUUGGAGGUUGGUACAACUAAACAAAAGCAAAUUCAGAUCUAGAAUUUCCAACCGCCAACCGAUUCUUGCAUUGCAAUGUGUUUGGAAGUUUUUUAAACAUUUCCGUGAGAGAAGUGAAGGAGUGUUUCCAAACUUCUUCAAUUAAUCUGCCUCAGCAGAAAGGUCUUCUGCAAAACAGAAAGAGCAUAGAAAGACUGCUGCUGAGAUAGAGACUCUUGCACUUAGUGCUUGUGGGAUGGGUCAUACUGACAUCUAGCGGCAGUCUCGAUCACAGCUCCACCAUGCAUUCUGGGUGACGAACUGUAAGCAUUGCUGACACAGACUAAUGGCUCCUUUUGCAGCUAAUGAUGGAGCAAUGUGGACAGCUGCUGGGCAGCCCAUGGAAUGCCAACAGUGACCCCAGGCUUUGGUGGACAAAAAAAGAGAGAUAUUCACUUUACCUCUCUAAGUCUCUUUCCUUUACUUCUGCUUGAAAUUAUCCCUCUUUUGCCCAUUCAAAGCUCAUCACACCAGUUCCUUUCCUUUCUAAAGGCCUGCUUCUUUUGGGGUCUUUCUUCAGCUCACCUGUAUGCAAAUUGGCCCAGCAUUCUGUUUCAUUAAUCUAGGAGAGGUAGGGCGAGAUAGCAGCAGAUUGCUUCCGCCACGGCAGAAUGUUCGCCGCACUUUGGCCACAAGUUAAUUUAUUACUGGAGGGUUUGGAGGGCCAGGCGCACAGGGGAUGUUUGUUAAAGAUCCUUUUCAGUGCAUUCACUCGGCCAGAGUACGGCGCUUUGAAACCCCCCUGCAAAAGAGUGGCCAUUCACAGAGAGUGCAGGAAACCUGAGGGAAGAACUAGAGGGACAAUUCUGAAGCGAGAGAUUAAGCAAGGGGGAGUGUGUGCGCGUGUAUGUGUGUGUGUGUGUGCGCAAGAGGGGCAGAGAAAAAGAGAAACAGAACUAUCCUCAAAAUGAAAACAUUUGUGUUAGAUACAACUAUUUCAGAUACACUGAAAUGAAAAAAAAAAAAAUCAAGUGAAAAUCUUUGCCUUGAGUAGACUUUGAGAUCUUGUAAACCACUGAGAUGAUUAACUUGAUAAAACUUGGACUAAACUAUGCAUUCCCUACAGUUAGUUGGGAUAUCAAAUGUGAAUAUUUUUUUUAGUUCUUGGAAGGUCCCUUAGGUAAAGCCUUAAAGUCCUGUCUUCAUUGAAAAGAACACUACAGAACACCUUAUCAGUAUGAUACAACUGAUACACACCUCAGCAGCUGCUGUUAACAAAAGGCCAGGCAAUGUGAGAAAGGUGUGGGUUGAGCUGAAGAUGAGGAGAGCUGAACUUUCUCCUCAGUAUCUCAUUAUUUACCACCCUCCUUAUCCACUGAACAAAAUCGAGCCGGUCGGGACGGGAAACAGGGCAUGGCAAGGUGACAAAGUGGCACCUGGCCGACAGGUGUUUGGGCUGUCAGGGGUCACAGGAUUAACGGCUCUGAUCACCUGCCUUACCUGAGCAAGGGUAAGGAGCAGAUCCUAAAGAGACAGGUGCAUCUGCUCGAGCAGUGGUACAUACACAUCUUAAAAACCCUGGACCUGCAAAGCCAGCCACGUAAUUACAGUUGGGGAAGCAUGUGGGUAAGGCUUUGUAUAGAAGUGGUGGAGGCGCAGGAGAAUAGAAGGGGAGUGAGAGAAGAAGAUAAGUUGUCCAGUUUUCAAACCACAUCAAAAAAAAUUGAUCCGUAGAACAACUACAUUGUGUGGUUUCAGGGACAACCUCCUUUUCUUCACCGAAACCCCUGCCAGAGGGUAAGGACCGCCAUCCUUUUUAUCACCGCGAUGCCCUGGUUUUCGCUUUCUUUAAUUAUAGCCUGAAAAAUGCAAGCCCACUCUGUCCAAAAACAGGACUUAUAGUAGGAAUUGGGGCCAGGUGUGUGAGCUUCAAAGGGCUGGAGCAGAAAGGGAGGUGAGAGUGGGAUGUAUCUUUAGUACUUAAAGAGCCAGUUAGCUAAACCACCCCCAAUGAACACAACACAGCAGUAAAGGGCCAUGCAACCGCUGUUUCUGGAUCAGUUUCCUUCCACAGAACUGAGGGAUCGAUGCCUUAAAGGUGUCAGAAGGUCAUACUGCUUGACAUAACAAGCUAGCAAGCUAAAAGAUUAGGUUCUGUCACUAUAGAGUUGUUAAAUAAAACUUAAAAUGGGUUGUGUUUCUCCGCUAUCUACUGCACAGAUUAAUCUCAUGACUGCGAGUGCCAAGUCAAUACCGAGAGUCAAUACAGGGAGAAUUCAAGGCUGUGUCCCAAAUGGCAUAACGUGCACUAAGAAGUAUGCCUAAAUAGUAAUGUCUACUGACAAACUAUUUAAUAUUGUCGUAUGCAGUUUGUGACAUGAUCCAGCUGUUUGCGAAUCUGAUGAUAGAUUUUGCAAACUGUGCAUAUCAGUGUUGUGAUUGUCAUAGUUACUGAGUCUCAGGUGAUAAAGCAAAACAUUUUUGUUUAGUACUAAUCACGUUUAUGACAAUUUGAGACGUUAAGACAUUUACAGAAGACAGGUUAGACCAUGUUUUUCCACUCUUUAAACUGUCCAGUUUCAGUUAAACCUGUGCCCAGUGUAGCCUCGGAUUCCUGUUCUUGGCUGACAGGACUGGACCCCAAUGUGUUCUGCUGCUUUUGUGGCUCAUCUGCCUCGAAUUUUGAUGCAUCGUGUGGUCCGAGAUGCUUUUCUGUGCACCACAGUUGUAAAGAGAUGUCAAAUAGGCAUUUCUGCCUGUAGAGCUGUCACUCUGGUUGUUUUUCUUUUUCACAUUAUUCUGUGUAAAAUCUAGAGACUGUUGACUCCUGGUAGUGCACAACCCUAAAGAACCUUUAGAGGUAGUAUGAAGAGCCCUAGAACAGAAGGUUUCAAAGCAAAGGACCCUAAGAAAGCAUUUUCCCAGAGACUGUACCCUUCAAAAAUCUAGGUACAAUGUAGGGACGUACGUAGAGAAUAUUUCAAGAAUAUUAUAGUGCAUGGGUGUCCAGUCUUAUCCAGAAAAAAGGGCUGGUGUGGGUGCAGGUUUUCAUUCCAACCAAGCAGAAGUCACAACUGAGUCUAUUGAACGCCAAGAUCAACUGAUUAUAGAGGUGGGACCAGGAGUGGCUUCUGCUUGAUUGGAAUGAAAACCUGCACCCACACCGGCCCAUUGUGAAUAAGAUUUGACACCCGUGCUAUAGUGUGUAGUGUGCAUCUGAUAUAUAGGUAAGGGUAGGUUUCUGAAGGGGGAAGGAAGGAAGGACCUUAUAAGGAGAGGCAGCUAUGUGAAAUAAACAGCCACAAAGAGCAGGUGAGGCUCAGGAAUGUCAUCUCGGCCACCUGUCAGCUAGGAUUUUCGAACCGUAGCGCCAAUAGAUCAACACACUGAGGUUAGUUUUAGUCGUUCGUAUCAACGCUUUCUAAUGAAUCAUUAGUAAAUCAACAUAUCCUCAGUCAUGUUUAAUACCUUAAUGCAUAAGCCAUUACUGCAGCAUGAUGAAAAGGUUUGCUAUGAAUCAGUUCAGCAGAAGAACUUUUAUUCUCUGCCAACUAGGAAUGCAGUGGGAGGCAAGGCUUUAGAGGCUGCAAAUUCCAGAGAACAGCUCUGCAGUUGUAGUGAUGGGAAACACCUCAGUCAUCAAAGAAGCCCUUUACAGAGACAAGAUAAGCACAGGCAAGCUCACCACCACCUGAAAAGCUAACAUAGUACAGGGCUUCACAUCACUUACACAUCUGUCAUCACAAGCAAACAGUACUUUCCGGUUUGUGAAAGAGUUGGACAGUGUUCAGUGACACUGAUUCCUGCCGACAGUCAAUCUGAUAAACUAGGAACACAGUAAACGACUGAUCAUGAUCAACCACGAUCACAGAAUCACAAAGCAUACAAAGAGAAGUGAACCGAAUGAUGAGUUCUAUGUUUUAACUCAUUUUUGGAGGGCAAAAUUUUUUUCAAAAAUCCUCACAUUGAAGUUUGCAUGUUCGCCUAACAUCAUUUAUGGAUUCCCCCAUCCCUCAUUUCUUAAUUAUGUACCAACUUUCUAACUGAACAUAAGAAACAAAAAUCUGUGUCCUAGCUAGUGACUUUCUCUGACAUAUAAUUUGGCAUGCAUUGCACAAGUAGCUCCUAUAAGACCAUUAUAUCCAUACCACUUAUCCUACACCGGGUCGCGUGGGGCCUGGAGCCUAUCCCAGGGGACUUGGGCGCACAGAGGGUGGAGGCGGAAUUCAAACCCGCCAACCCCAGAGACACGAGGCAAAUGUGCUAACCACUAAGCCACCGUAUUUUGCUUUACAUUUAAAUGAUGUCUUCUGCAUUACUGUUUCAGUAAAAAUAACCAACAUUAGACCUCCAUUCACCCCCCCCCCCCCACCCCCA
ensembl:lncRNA